rnacentral:rRNA from 1 species
CCUACGGGAGGCAGCAGUGAGGAAUAUUGGUCAAUGGACGAGAGUCUGAACCAGCCAAGUAGCGUGAAGGAUGACUGCCCUAUGGGUUGUAAACUUCUUUUAUAUGGGAAUAAAACGUUCCACGUGUGGGAUUUUGUAUGUACCAUAUGAAUAAGGAUCGGCUAACUCCGUGCCAGCAGCCGCGGUAAUACGGAGGAUCCGAGCGUUAUCCGAAUUUAUUGGGUUUAAAGGGAGCGUAGGUGGAUUGUUAAGUCAGUUGUGAAAGUUUGCGGCUCAACCGUAAAAUUGCAGUUGAAACUGGCAGUCUUGAGUACAGUAGAGGUGGGCGGAAUUCGUGGUGUAGCGGUGAAAUGCUUAGAUAUCACGAAGAACUCCGAUUGCGAAGGCAGUUCACUGGACUGCAACUGACACUGAGGCUCGAAAGUGUGGGUAUCAAACAGGAUUAGAUACCCUUGUAGUC